GAGGAAAAAAACCCCAAAAAACAAACCAAAAUGAAGAGAAAGGAAAUGAGAGGCGGAAAAAAUGGGGGAAAAGACAACUUUCAGAGACUGGAAUUAAAACCCGAGCCCGAGGCCCCUCCUGCCGCAGCCACGGGGACUCCUGCGACUCCAGGCUGGACGUGGGUUCACCAUACACGAUGCUCAUUUUCUGGCUGACAGGUCUCUGGCCCUGGUGAGAGUUCGCUGGGAAUACCCUGCUCAGAUCGGCUCACUAUUACAUCAAUCAGGAGUGGGGGUUAUCUGGAAAACCUCACCCUCCAGAAGCCACGAGGAGCAGCAGCAGGACCUUGUCUUGAGGGACCCUCAGCAGAAGCCCCUCGCCACGGCUGAUCCCACUCCUGCUGUCCCCGCUGCUGCUGGCAGCUGCUGGAGCACCCUGCGGAUCCUGAUUUACACCGGAGCCUGUCCAGGGCUGCUGAGCAGCCCCAGCUGAGGCACGGGCAGGGUGCAGAGGACACCAGGACACCCCCAUCCUGCCACUGCCCUCACCGGGGGAACAAACCCGUGCCACCCACAAUUCCUGGCUGUGAGGCCUCAUGACUCCAAAACAGCAUUCCUGGGGCAUUCCUGAUGUCAUGGACACCUGACUGGGUUUUUUCAGCUCUCCAUGGAUGUCGUGUGGCCGAGUCCAUGAACCAGAAGCUGCAGCUCGCUCUUGGACCUCCAAAAAUGGCUCAGCAAGGUCCAAAGGGCUGUUUCACUCACACCACUGGCAGUUCCCUUCCCUUUCCAAGGAUUAGGAUGAGGCAAAUACCUUGAGUCUGGUUUAAUCCUCAAUACCUGAUUCUGCAGGAGUCUGCUGGCACACACACAUUCCAGUAAUAGCCAGGUAACUCACAGGGCUAAACCACUCCGGGUUUUUUUUUCAUUAUAACCUCCUUUUAAAGCACGUUUAAAUGCUUCCCCACAGGCUCAUGCAAGGGCUGUUAAGGGCUUCAUUUGAAUAAAUAAGGGCAUAGGUAGAGGAGGAACAUCAGCAGAGCCCCCUGGAAACCCAGCAGCAGCCAUGGCAGCAGUGGGCUGGAGUGGAGAAGGGCCUCCAUGUUAUAUAUUCUAUAAAGUAGAGUAAUUAAGUAUUACUAGUUUUGAUGACUUCAAACAGAGUGACUCCAGGAAAUAAGCCCCUUCUUUAUAAUUAGUGGGAUUUCCUCUGCAUCAAACGGAGAGAUUGAUUCUUUAAUCUGCUCACAUGCUUUUGAUUUGGUCUUUCAGCUGCUUGUACCAACUGCUUCUACUCCCUGCUCUUGCAGAUAAAACCUUGCAAAGGAGAUUUUAGGAAGGCAUGACCUGAGCUGAGGUCCAGGAUUUUCUUUGUGUGUGGCUGUUUUGUGUAUUCCUAAUUUGCCAGAGAUGAUGAUCAUGAUGACAACAAUAAUAAAAAAUAACACAGACAUGGGUUUUAAACAUCCAGCUAUGUUUAGGUCGAGUAAUUGGAGUUUGGAGUUUUAUUUAUUGCCUUCUGAGCACUCCUCUUAGCUCUGGCUCAUGCUCUUUAACACCUGAAAAGGUAAUUUUGGCUUGCUGACCCAGGUGGGACUCACUGUUGCUCUUGUAAGGGCACACACCCAGCACCAGGCUGGUCUGUCAGCAUUCCGGGGCUGGAUCUGCGCAGAGUGUCUUUGGAGUAUCUCAGGUGUUGGACCUGGUUCAGUACUAAACACGGGAAUUUGGAAAGCUCUGUCUGAAAUUAAACGGAUUGUGGCUGCCCCAUCCCUGGGAGUGCCCAAGGCCAGGUUGAACAGGGCUUGCAGCGACCUGGCUCAGGGAGGGGGUGGAACAAGAUGAGCUUUAAGGUCCCUUCCGACCCAAACCAUUCCAUGGAAAUCCCUGCAAGCUGCUGUUUUCCAAAUGCAGGGCUCAGCAGGGAGUGGGAACUUGCCCCCUGCCCCUGGUGGUGAGCAGCCAGCCCCAUCCUGGGGUCUCCAUGGGGCCAGUGGCACCACACCAGUGACGUGGGAAAUGUGGUCUGGGGUCUGCUGUGGUUCCAGGCGUGGACUAAACCUCCCAUGUGCUGCUCCCACCUCCAAAGCAGCUCAGCCCUUGAAUCAUCUCAGCAAACUUCCCUCUGGCAUGUGAGGUUCUUCUGGGGCUGCUGAGGAGACAAAAAGGAGGGGAAACUGCUUCCCAUCCACCUGGAAAGGUGCAGGAUGAGCAAGGGAGAGGCCCGAGGGAUGAGCAAGAGGGUGAGAACAGGCCAGUGGCUCUGUUUUGGCAGCUGGAGGGCAGGGACUGGGUGCAUCGCCCAAAGACGGGCUGGGAAGGGCAGAGUGCGGCGGCAGCAGCUCGGAGGGAGGGGAUGGAGC